rnacentral:tRNA from 1 species
ACAUAUUGCUCACUGGUAGAGCACUUGCCUAGCAUGUAAGAGUUCCUGCGUUCAAUCCCCAGUAUGU